rnacentral:rRNA from 2 species
UUGGACCUGAUAGCAGACAAGACUACCCGCUAACUAA